UACAGAGGGGGCAAGCGUUAUUCGGAAUUAUUGGGCGUAAAGGGCGCGUAGGCGGCCAUUCAAGUGACGGGUGAAAGCCCUCGGCUUAACCGAGGAACUGCCUGUCAGACUGGAUGGCUUGAGACCGGGAGAGGUGAGUGGAAUUCCCAGUGUAGCGGUGAAAUGCGUAGAUAUUGGGAGGAACACCAGUGGCGAAGGCGGCUCACUGGACCGGAACUGACGCUGAGGCGCGAAAGCGUGGGGAGCGAACGGG
rnacentral:rRNA from 1 species